GGUUGUAUAGUGUAGCGGUUAUCACGUCGGAUUCUGAUUCCGGAGAUCCCGGUUCGAUUCCGGGUACGACCU